UACAAAAGGCAUGAAAAUCUACACCGGCGGUCCUAACGUCCAGCUCCAUGCUAUCCAAUCAUCCUUACCUAAAGCGACCUGAAAAAAGGACAACGGAGUUGGAUGAGUAAUCUAGUAUUACUCAGUGAGCUGGCGGCCUCUACCCGCAAACUAGACUCUAACCCAAACAACCCAAAAUAACAAUCAAUCUAGCCCUAGCAUGAAAUAUAAGCGAAGGCUAAGCAAACCGUUACUAAGUUAGACUUGGCCUCCUGCCAUGAUCUAGCUUCAAGUAACGGGAACCUGCAUUUAAAACAAGUCAACAACAAAUCCUUAGUUAACCAUAUAUACGCCUGAGUUCAGUACUCAUGUAGUGUUAGACACUUAGAUUAUACAAGUAUCAUAAGCCGGUCGACCAACAAAUAAACAAGAACAUGAUCGGCCAACCAAUGAUACCGCAUA
rnacentral:lncRNA from 1 species